rnacentral:rRNA from 1 species
UGAACCUGCGGAAGGAUCAUUACCGAGUGCGGGCCCUCUGGGUCCAACCUCCCAUCCGUGUCUAUCUGUACCCUGUUGCUUCGGCGUGGCCACGGCCCGCCGGAGACUAACAUUUGAACGCUGUCUGAAGUUUGCAGUCUGAGUUUUUAGUUAAACAAUCGUUAAAACUUUCAACAACGGAUCUCUUGGUUCCGGCAUCGAUGAAGAACGCAGCGAAAUGCGAUAAUUAAUGUGAAUUGCAGAAUUCAGUGAAUCAUCGAGUCUUUGAACGCACAUUGCGCCCCCUGGUAUUCCGGGGGGCAUGCCUGUCCGAGCGUCAUUGCUGCCCUCAAGCACGGCUUGUGUGUUGGGCUUCCGUCCCUGGCAACGGGGACGGGCCCAAAAGGCAGUGGCGGCACCAUGUCUGGUCCUCGAGCGUAUGGGGCUUUGUCACCCGCUCCCGUAGGUCCAGCUGGCAGCUAGCCUCGCAACCAAUCUUUUUAACCAGGUUGACCUCGGAUCAGGUAGGGAUACCCGCUGAACUUAAGCAUAUCAAUAA